GACAGUGACCAAGCGCAGAAGAGGUCGAUUGUGAGCUGGCGGCAAACCGCACCAGAGGGCGAUGCCUAGGCCGCCACCGCAAGAACUGAAGCCGAGUUCGUCGCACUCGUGGAAACACACGAGGUCUCUGGCCAGCCCACUACAUAGCUUGCGGUCCAGAGGUCACCGAAGACCACGCAAAGGAGAUGCCUAGGCCGCUGUAAAGUUGGAAGAGAAACAGGCCAGCCGACCACCUCUCUUGCCGUCUAGGUCGUCGCUGAUCUAUGCAUUCAGAGGAUUUUUGUGAUGUUGCUGCUGCAUGUUUGUGUUUUUUAGUUUUUCUUUGUUCGUUUCUUCUUUUUGGUGUGGCGGGUGAGCUGAUUUGGGGCUUAAUUUCUUAUGUGACAAUGAAGAGAGGCACAAUACUAGAUAAGGUGUGAUCUAUCUCCUGACAUAUCCCUAUAACAAGUUCUUAUGUUCAGUACAUUCACUUGGUUGAUUAGUUUGAUUUACUCCCUUAGGUUGAUAGGAUUUUAUUGCAGUUUUUGUACAGAUCUUUUAUUCUACUUAGGGAUAAAAAGUGCAAUAUAAAAUUUCAUUGAACAAUCUGAACUUAGAGCGGAUCAUUUCGGUGCUGAAUUUGUCUAUCUGAACUUUAGUUGUAUAGAAAUUAUCUCGAUGAGUGAUAUAAUAAUAUCCACUGAUGUAUCAUAUGCUUUUGAUGUUUCUCUGCAGGAGUAGCUUGCACCUUAGUUGGGUGGUGAGGUUGCCGAGCGACCAAGUGAGCACCAUUAUUUCUGCCCUCUCUGCAUUGGCGACUAACUGCACCAAGAACUGAUGCUAGAACCAUCUUCCCUGUCAUGUUAUGGUAUAUAACAUCAUCAUGUACUUCCAUUUAGUGUCAUAUGGAUUGUUUAGACAUUGUCAAAGCCUUAAUUUGUUCUUUCACAAACUUUGCUUUUACUGGUUGCAUCUCAAGUAAUAUGGUAGGUUUGUCAGUUAUGAUUCAAUCACCUUCAAUCUCAAGUAAUACCAGUGAAUCUGCAAGGAAAUAAAUUUGUUCUGUGAAGCUCCGGUCAACAAGAACUUCUCCAAGAAAGAAUAUGGACAACUUAUGUCUUGCACACUGCUGCAUUUGUACUACCCCCAGCUAGUCCAAGUAGAGGAGAUAAGGGUCAACUUUGCUGCGAUUUGUGUCUAUCCAAUCAGGGGAAGCAAUUGAUCGAUAGAAAUUCAGAGGAAGCAACUGAUGAAUGUUGAAGUUCCUAUUUCUUCAGAAAAAUUAGAAGAGCAAAUGAUGGUUUGGACGCCCAUAGCCAUCACCGGGAGGAGCCUCGGCCACUGAGGCGGCCGUCCACAUAGCCAUCACCGGGAGGAGCGCCGGCCACUGAGUUGGUCGUCCACGUUGCCAUUGGCGUCAUCGUCGCACCGGCAGAUCGGCUCGACGUGACUCUGGAAUCCCAUUGACUACCUCCUACACAGGCUGAUCACUCAUGCAGCUGCUAAGCUCGGCGCCACCGGUUCUCUUCUUGGAUAAGAGUGGUGCUGCAAGAUAGCGAGCUUGGACGCCCGGUUGCCAUCUGCUCCUCUAGCAUCGACUUCUACCCCAGCUCCCCUCCUGUCAAGAGACUGCAAAAGGCACCUCUGCCUUUCCUGUGCAGGUAGCAGAAGGCCUCCUCUGCCUUUUCGUUCUUCAGUUUUUUCUCUCUAUUUUUGAGACACAUCCUUAUGGUGAGUUAAUACAUAUACACUUGGUCGGCUCAGAUGGAUUGAUUGGACAAGGGUAAUGGAAUUUGCCUGGACUAUUAGGUGCUCAGCGUUAAUAGAUCAUAGUAAUGUUAUAUGCUUAUUAUUUUUCCUGCUAGGUAACAUCAAAUACUUAUAGGGGCUUGCUUCGGUAGACCCCCCAACAAAACGUAGAAGGACAGAAUGG